ACGAACGCUGGCGGCAGGCCUAACACCUGCAAGUCGAGCGGACCCUUCGGGGUUAGCGGCGGACGGGUGAGUCACGCGUGGGAAUAUGCCCUUCUCUACGGAAUAGUCCUGGGAAACUGGGGGUAAUACCGUAUACGCCCUUUGGGGGAAAGAUUUAUCGGGGAAGGAUUAGCCCGCGUUGGAUUAGGUAGUUGGUGGGGUAAUGGCCUACCAAGCCGACGAUCCAUAGCUGGUUUGAGAGGAUGAUCAGCCACACUGGGACUGAGACACGGCCCAGACUCCUACGGGAGGCAGCAGUGGGGAAUCUUAGACAAUGGGGGCAACCCUGAUCUAGCCAUGCCGCGUGAGUGAUGAAGGCCUUAGGGUUGUAAAGCUCUUUCAGCUGGGAAGAUAAUGACGGUACCAGCAGAAGAAGCCCCGGCUAACUCCGUG
rnacentral:rRNA from 1 species